rnacentral:rRNA from 1 species
GACGAACGCUGGCGGCGUGCCUAAUACAUGCAAGUCGAACGCAUUUUCUUUCACCGUAGCUUGCUACACCGAAAGAAAAUGAGUGGCGAACGGGUGAGUAACACGUGGGUAACCUGCCCAUCAGCGGGGGAUAACACUUGGAAACAGGUGCUAAUACCGCAUAAUUCCAUUUACCGCAUGGUAAAUGGAUGAAAGGCGCUUUUGCGUCACUGAUGGAUGGACCCGCGGUGCAUUAGCUAGUUGGUGGGGUAACGGCCUACCAAGGCUGCGAUGCAUAGCCGACCUGAGAGGGUGAUCGGCCACACUGGGACUGAGACACGGCCCAGACUCCUACGGGAGGCAGCAGUAGGGAAUCUUCGGCAAUGGACGCAAGUCUGACCGAGCAACGCCGCGUGAGUGAAGAAGGUUUUCGGAUCGUAAAACUCUGUUGUUAGAGAAGAACAAGGAUUAGAGUGGAAAGUUCAUCCCUUGACGGUAUCUAACCAGAAAGCCACGGCUAACUACGUG